UGCCAGCCGCCGCGGUAACACGGGGGGCGCAAGCGUUAUUCGGAAUUAUUGGGCGUAAAGGGCGCGCAGGCGGUCUUGUCCGUCAGGUGUGAAAGCUCGGGGCUCAACCCCGGAAGUGCACUUGAAACAGCAAGACUUGAAUACGGUAGAGGAGAGAGGAAUUCCUGGUGUAGAGGUGAAAUUCGUAGAUAUCAGGAGGAACACCGAUGGCGAAGGCAUCACUCUGGGCUGGUAUUGACGCUGAGGAGCGAAAGCAUGGGUAGCAAACAGGAUUAGAUA
rnacentral:rRNA from 1 species